rnacentral:rRNA from 1 species
GAUGAACGCUGGCGGCGUGCCUAAUACAUGCAAGUCGAGCGAAUGGAUUAAGAGCUUGCUCUUAUGAAGUUAGCGGCGGACGGGUGAGUAACACGUGGGUAACCUGCCCAUAAGACUGGGAUAACUCCGGGAAACCGGGGCUAAUACCGGAUAAUAUUUUGAACUGCAUGGUUCAAAAUUGAAAGGCGGCUUCGGCUGUCACUUAUGGAUGGACCCGCGUCGCAUUAGCUAGUUGGUGAGGUAACGGCUCACCAAGGCAACGAUGCGUAGCCGACCGGAGAGGGUGAUCGGCCACACUGGGACUGAGACACGGCCCAGACUACUACGGGAGGCAGCAGUAGGGAAUCUUCCGCAAUGGACGAAAGUCUGACGGAGCAAUGCCGCGUGAGUGAUGAAGGCUUUCGGGUCGUAAAACUCUGUUGUUAGGGAAGAACAAGUGCUAGUUGAAUAAGCUGGCACCUUGACGGUACCUAACCAGAAAGCCACGGCUAACUACGUGCCAGCAGCCGCAGUAA